rnacentral:rRNA from 1 species
GACGAACGCUGGCGGCGUGCUUAACACAUGCAAGUCGAACGGAAAGGCCCUGCUUUUGUGGGGUGCUCGAGUGGCGAACGGGUGAGUAACACGUGAGUAACCUGCCCUUGACUUUGGGAUAACUUCAGGAAACUGGGGCUAAUACCGGAUAGGAGCUCCUGCUGCAUGGUGGGGGUUGGAAAGUUUCGGCGGUUGGGGAUGGACUCGCGGCUUAUCAGCUUGUUGGUGGGGUAGUGGCUUACCAAGGCUUUGACGGGUAGCCGGCCUGAGAGGGUGACCGGCCACAUUGGGACGGAGAUACGGCCCAGACUCCUACGGGAGGCAGCAGUGGGGAAUAUUGCACAAUGGGCGGAAGCCUGAUGCAGCAACGCCGCGUGCGGGAUGACGGCCUUCGGGUUGUAAACCGCUUUCGCCUGUGAUGAAGCGUGAGUGACGGUAAUGGGUAAAGAAGCACCGGCUAACUACGUG